rnacentral:lncRNA from 15 species
UUUCAGUACGUCAGAAUGCACUGUUUUUAUCAACAGACGCUUCCAGUCAUCCUUCUAUGGAGUCCGCCAUGUUGAAGUGCCAGUUUCGAGGCCACCUCGCAGUUCUCACUCUCAGUCAACAAUGGACGAAGCCACCAGGGAGCGAACAGGACCACAAGGCCUUUUGUCCUCGAGCAAUAAAAACGAAGCAGCUAUGGCAGUGACACAAGCAAGGACAUGGAACUCAUGAGAACUGCAAGGAGUGGAAGAGGAGUGGAUGGAUGCAGGUGUGAGAUGUGACACAUCUGUCAUACAGGAGACGAGCGCAUACAAGGGAUCUACUGAUACACAUUUAACCCACGGAGGACUCGUUCGUAUGAGACAGCUUUCACUCUGUCACUGCUAACAGAGACUUCAGUCUGCAGUGUAGUUCAUACACCUCACUGAUAAACCUGAGAAUUAUAGUAACACAAGGCUUCAGACCAGAUUUUUUUU